GUCGUUUGCUCGAAUGGAUUCACUUCACAUUGAGGCCUUGGGGAUGUAUAGUACCUAAUUUCCUAAUCCAGAUCUUUUCUGCUCUUUUUCUCUGGAGCACAGACCACAACGGGUUGGCCUGCAGGACCGUGACGCUGAAUGAGUCCCAUCCGUGCUCCAGAAAGUGUUGGACCAGGUGAUUAGGUACACCGCAUUUUUAGUGUGUACGGUGCCCGAUCGGUUUUGGAAGUUGGACCUAACCCCCCUGGUCAGUUUCACCGCGGCGGACGAGUACGUCAGGACAAAGGGCACGACGGUGCCCUCCGUCUGCGUCCCUUUGGUCAGGUGUUGGAGAAAAAAAAGGUAGUGUAUGGUAUGUAUAAAUGUGCUAUUUUGAGUACUGAGGUAUUUUAGAGUAUUUUUGGAUUUAAGUUUUAGGUAUUAUUAGUAGUGUUCGGUUCGUAUCAGUGUAGUUUCUUUUAAGAAAGGAAGAUAGGGUGUAUUUUCAAUAAAAUAAUGAAUGUAAGUAAAGGGAAUCCUUUCCUUAAACUUUAAUUCAGGUACAGUUAACAAAAUAGAAGGAUAAAUCAGCUGUUGUUUUAAAGCAAUAGUAGCAGGUAGUAUUUGAUUUGAAUCGAGGUACUCUUUUUUUAGAAAGAACGAAUAGGGUGUAUUUUGAAUCAAAAAGUGAAUAUAAUAGUAAAUGUAAGUAGAUGGAAUACUUUCCUUCAGGUUUAGUCUAGAUAAAGUUCAGAAAAAAAAGGAUGAACAAG
ensembl:lncRNA